UGGCGGCGUGCCUUACACAUGCAAGUUGAACGAGAAUCAUUUUUUUAAUACCUCGGUAGAGAAAAGGUGAAGACAGUAGCGAACGAGUGAGUAACACGUAGUAACCUGCCCACGGGAGGGGGAAAACCACUGGAAUCGGUGGCUAAUACCGCAUAAGCCCGCGAGGAAAGCACGAGAGUGCACCGGUGGAGGGGACUGCGGGCCAUCAGGAAGAUGGUGAGGUAAAAGCUCACCAAACCGACGACGGCUAUCUGACGUGAGAGCGUGAUCAGACACGAGGACACUGAGAAACGGGUCCUACUCCUACGGGAGGCAGCAGUGGGGAAUAUUGGACAAUGGGGGAAACCCUGAUCCACCGACGCCGCGUGAACGAAGAAGUCCUUCGGGAUGUAAAGUUCUUUUAUAUGGGAAGAAGACAAUGACGGUACCAUAGGAAUAAGCCCCGGCUAACUACGU
rnacentral:rRNA from 1 species